rnacentral:lncRNA from 1 species
AUCGCAUCACAUGAUUGCGCAGGUGCAGCCAAUAAUGAAGUGACGACAUCCCAGGGAGGUCAACUUCUCUUCCUUGUCAUCCGGUCUCUGUUCAUCAUAGACGCUUCAAACAACUUUAUAAAGAUCGUUGACAUCUAGUGGAAGCCGUAGGAGUUGCGAAAUGAAUCCUUUCUCACUGUGGUAUCUAAUAACAAUGACAACAACAAAAAAUAGUACAGCCACAAAAUUAUUAUUUUAUUCUCAGGUUUUUGCCUGCCAUAUGAGUUUUGUUAUACUUACAGACACCAUUCAAACAGUUUUAGAAAAUUCAGAGUGUUUUCUAUCCAAAUCUGGUAAUAAUAUGCAUAUCCUAGCUUCUGAGUUGGUGUAGGAGGCAGUUAAAAAUGGGCACAUAUUCUUUUCAAAAUUCUCAAUACUGCCCCCUAGCCCCAACAGGAUUUAUACACCUCACUUUGCUCAAGCUGAUCCUCUCCAACUCAAUCCCUGAUCAACGGAGGUUGUAAAAAUGGUUGAAAUUAGGACUUCAAGGGGAGAAGAGAUGAAUCCAACCAGAAAAAAACUCUAAAUCAGAAUAUCGCUUGAAAACCUGCAAUGUAGCAUUAUAUUAUAAACGGAAAGACAGGAUACACAGCCAUCGGAAAUAAAAUAAACACAUUACACUGUCUGAGAAGAACACACAUCAUUGUGUGUCAGUGUAUUUUUCUGAAGUUUAUGGAGAUGCUUUCAGUUUUUUUUUACCUCCGUUCAUUACAUGUGUGUUAAUGAAUGCACACAUUUUGGGAUUGUCAACUUUUUCAAGGGAUGUUGGCACUUGCAAAAGCCAUAUCCUCAGCAUUUACGUUUUUACAUACAUUUCUGUGGCAAAUGAAAAUGGCUACUUUGUUCGGAAAUAGGCUACUUGUGUAUAUAUAUAGGUAGGUAUAUAUAUACAUACAUUUAAAAUCCCUAUUAUUCAAAUAUAAUGUUGAUAAGACAAUGAAUAAGUGAAAUGUUUGUUGCUAAUGUCCUUAAGACAGGCUAAUAAUUUGGUGCAUUAGGGUAAAGUGUAGUCUGCUGAUGAGUAAGCAUUUCACUGUAAGGUCUACACCAGUUGUAUUCGGCGCACAUGAAAAAUACACUUUGAUUUGAUGUGAGAAUAAUUGUCAGCAAACAUUUCAUUUUAAGUCAAGGUUGGGAAUUUAUUUUGGACUAACUGGAUAAUUAUGUUAGAUGAUCAUGGUGUCCACACGUGACAAUGAAUUCACAUGUGGUGUGAGAAGGUGCUAUAUCUGCCUAUUGAGGUGGAAUGAUCGAAAUGCGCUGCAGAAAAACCCCCACCAAAAUGAUGAUUAUUUUACUAUCAUUGUAUUACUGUGUGAAAAUCUAAUGGUUGCACUUAUGUCAAUAACACCUGAGUGUAAUCGUUUCCUGUUAUUUCAUAAGCACCUUAUAUUGCAUGCACAAAACAUGAAGUUAAUCUGUGGAAUAAUUAU